rnacentral:rRNA from 1 species
CCUAGGGGUGGCAGCAGUGGGGAAUAUUGGACAAUGGGCGAAAGCCUGAUCCAGCCAUGCCGCGUGUGUGAAGAAGGCCUUCGGGUUGUAAAGCACUUUCAGUGGGGAAGAAAGCCUUGGGGCUAAUACCCUCGAGGAAGGACAUCACCCACAGAAGAAGCACCGGCUAACUCCGUGCCAGCAGCCGCGGUAAUACGGAGGGUGCGAGCGUUAAUCGGAAUUACUGGGCGUAAAGCGCGCGUAGGCGGUCUGAUAAGCCGGUUGUGAAAGCCCCGGGCUCAACCUGGGAACGGCAUCCGGAACUGUCAGGCUAGAGUGCAGGAGAGGAAGGUAGAAUUCCCGGUGUAGCGGUGAAAUGCGUAGAGAUCGGGAGGAAUACCAGUGGCGAAGGCGGCCUUCUGGACUGACACUGACGCUGAGGUGCGAAAGCGUGGGUAGCAAACAGGAUUAGAUACCCGGGUAGU